GACCCCUUAGCUCAGUGGUAGAGCGUCGCAUUCCAGCUGGCGGACAACCUCGCGAAGGCCGUCCGUUCAAUCCGGGCAGGGGUCA